AGGCAGUAGUGUUUUCUGUUCUUUUUCGAUGUCUCAGUUUACAGACUGAAGCCAUACAUAUGGCACAACGACUGGGCCACACUAUUACAGUCAACGAACCCACUCUGGACCGGACACCUUGCUAUUGGGCUUAAGCUUCCUUUUUAAUCUUGGCUGUAGCAGCACACCAUCUUCUUCGCUUCCAGUCUCUGGCGCAGGUUCACUUGUCUUGGCAUCCUUGCGUGUGCUAACAGAAGCUUUCCAUCAGCAUAUUCAGGCCGGGUUUAGACACUGACCCCUACUUCUCUGGGCCCUGUGAACGAACGGAUACCCUGACGGCCGGGCAGAGAAAUGGUGCAAAACGUUAGCGAAGUAGCCUGGUCGUUGAAACCUGAAAAAAAUGGUCUGGCUGCUGCUGCUGCAUGGUUGCAUAAGCUCGUUUUUUACAUGCCUGAUGGCUGUAUUCUCCUGGUUUGCUGUGCUCAUUCCACUGGCAUUUACAACUUGGCAGGCAUCUCUGUACCCUCACAUCAGGGAGAAACUGGAAGGCAUCGUUCUGACAUCGCCCGCGCUGCGUGUGAAGCCUGCGCAUCCUAUUGUUGGGGCUGUGGCGCCGAUCUUCUCUCUGGAAGGCAUCGUUCAAGGGCGCCAACAAGAGGGGCAUCCCGGUGUCCCGCGACCCCACGGCGCUGCUGGCCAAGUACUCGGACCCGCUGGUGUACACGGGGCCGAUCAGGGUGCGGACGGGGCACGAGAUCCUGCGCAUCUAUCUCCUCCCACCUGCUGCACCGCCUGGAGAAGGUCACCGUCCCGUUCCUGGUGCUGCACGGCACCGCCGACCGGGUGACGGACCCGCUGGCGUCGCGCGAGCUCUACGGCGCGGCGGCGUCCGCGCACAAGGACCUGCGCCUGUACGACGGGUUCCUGCACGACCUGCUCUUCGAGCCCGAGCGCGACGAGGUCGGCGCCGAGAUCGUCGCCUGGAUGGACGGGAUGCUCCGGCUCCGGCGGCAGGCUGGAUGAAGGGAUGGCCGUGCUGCUUCUCUCUCCUUCUAGGUGGUGUUCCUCUCCAAAGAUAAGAUGGAUGCA